GGAAAAGAAACUAACAAGGAUUCCCCUAGUAACGGCGAGUGAAGAGGGAUUUAGCCCAGCACCGAAUCCUCUUGUCUUAACGGCAUGUUGGAACUGUGGUGUUUGGGGGUUGCUAUGUCCUCGCGGCCAUUCGGUUUAAGUUCUCUUGAUCGGGACUUCACCCAUAGAAGGUGUUAGGCCUGUCUACCGCCGAAUCGUGCCGUGGGCUUAGUAGCUCCUAGGAGUCGGUCUGUUUGAGAUUGCAGAUCAAAGUGGGUGGUAAGCUCCAUCUAAGGCUAAAUACUUGCACGAGUCCGAUAGCAGACAAGUACCGUGAGGGAAAGUUGAAAAGAACUUUGAAGAGAGAGUUCAAUAGUACGUGAAACCGUUUAGAGGUAAACGAACGGGACCGCAAACGCCUCCCCGUCAUAUUCAAUCUGGCAUCUGGGAUGCCUUCGGCUUGUCGACCUGUAUUCUAAGGGCUGACUUGUCGUUGGAUUUUCUUUGUUUGCUGGCUGCUUGUUUGGCGGUGGAGGGCGCCACAACCGGUUCGCUAUCAAUUCUCUAAGGUUGGCUAAAGGUUCGGCGUAAGGUAGGCUGGCGGUUGGGCGUUCUCACGGAUGCCCGGCCGUCGGUUAUCAUACAGACGCCGUUCUCUGACGCUCGACCGGCGGACCGAGGAAGAACUUAUUAAGCAACGUCCACCUCUUGUGGUGUCGGCUCGGAACGGAUUAGUUUGUCGUGUUCAACAGAUUCGGACUGCUUGCAGUGCGGGUCGACUGCUCGGCUUACGUUCGCCYGGCCGGCGUCCCGACGUUCAGGGUUAGUGGCGAAUUGUCGGCAUCCCGUUCGACCCGUCUUGAAACACGGACCAAGGAGUGCAGCAUGCGUGCGAGUCGUAGGGUUCUCAACGAGACCCGAAGGCGAAAUGAAGGUAAAGGACGCUGCUCUCCUCACGGUGACAGCGUCUAAGGUGUGAUCCGAACCCGGUCGUUAACGCCGGCUCGGCGCAACACCGGCCCGUCUCAAACCCCGUGCCGGUUGAGGCGGCGCAAGAGCACGUACGCUGCGACCCGAAAGAUGGUGAACUAUGCCUGAGUAGGACGAAGCCAGAGGAAACUCUGGU
rnacentral:rRNA from 1 species